rnacentral:misc_RNA from 1 species
AUGGGACGGCCCGCUGGGCUGUUCCCGCCCCUAUGCCCUUUUUUGGGUUUCCGGCCAGAGGCAUGCUGGGAGCGUCACAUGCAAAUUGAGCGUGCACCCAGCGUUCCGCCCUUUCUACGCUGGGCCGGUUAUCGACCCGGCCCAGUGCGCAGGCGCGGGAAAGUUGAACUAAUAAAGUUUGUACGAGUUCAGUGGAGGAGACCGCAAGUUGAGUGGAGGAGGCGGCGGUGGGGCCCCGGACCAGGUCAGCGGGGUGUUGACGAGGGGUGGGGUGAGGAGGGAAGAGGAGGGGGCCGGGAUCCAGUGGUGGGCACCCCAGUCCCGCUUCUCUGAUAUCCAAGGGUCCAGGGUCCUCUAGAUUCCAGCAGGGGUCGGAGAUUUGGAACUACACCUCACAGCAGGCUGCGCGGCGAAGAAGCGCGGACCUAGGGGAAGAUUUGCCCUGAAACCUCUUGGGAUUGGUAGUUCCCGAUGCUUUAAGGGUUUCAGGAGUUUGGCAUAUGCCUCUUAUAGAAUCCAGGAGUUGGGGCGCUAAGCCUCUUCUUCCUGGGAGACCUAAGGGUCUGGGGCUCCAGUUCCUUUUUCUCUAAGACUCAGAAGUCCAGGACCCCAGCUCCCUCCUCCUUUAGACCCACGAAUCUGGGCACCCAGCCCCACCACCUUUCCUUGGAUCGAAGAGUCUUUUUCCUGAUCGCUUUUUCGUCUGAGGACUCAAGAGUCUAGGCCCCCAGACCCACACUCUCCAAAGGACCCAGGAGUCCAGGCCCUCAGCACCUUCCUUGGGACUCACAAGUCCUGGUCCCCAAGCCUCCACUUCUUGCUAAACCCUUGGAGUCCAGUCCCUAACCCUCUCUCUCACAGGUGCCUCCAUGGCAGGCUCUGAAGAGCUGGGGCUCCGGGAAGACACGCUGAGGGUCCUAGCUGCCUUCCUUAGGCGUGGUGAGGCUGCCGGGUCUCCUGUUCCAACUCCACCUAGAAGCCCUGCCCAAGAAGAGCCAACAGACUUCCUGAGCCGCCUUCGAAGAUGUCUUCCCUGCUCCCUGGGGCGAGGAGCAGCCCCCUCUGAGUCCCCUCGGCCUUGCUCUCUGCCCAUCCGCCCCUGCUAUGGUUUAGAGCCUGGUAAGAGAUUUCCAUGAUCAUCUAUGAAGCCGGCAGAACACGGGAUAAGGCCCAGCUACUCCAGACUUCUAUGCUUUGGUGGCCCAGCGGCUGGAACAGCUGGUCCAAGAGCAGCUGAAAUCUCCGCCCAGCCCAGAAUUACAGGGUCCCCCAUCGACAGAGAAGGAAGCCAUACUGCGGAGGCUGGUGGCCCUGCUGGAGGAGGAGGCAGAAGUCAUUAACCAGAAGCUGGCCUCGGACCCCGCCCUGCGCAGCAAGCUGGUCCGCCUGUCCUCCGACUCUUUCGCCCGCCUGGUGGAGCUGUUCUGUAGCCGGGAUGACAGCUCUCGCCCAAGCCGAGCAUGCCCCGGGCCCCCGCCUCCUUCCCCGGAGCCCCUGGCCCGCCUGGCCCUAGCCAUGGAGCUGAGCCGGCGCGUGGCCGGGCUGGGGGGCACCCUGGCCGGACUCAGCGUGGAGCACGUGCACAGCUUCACGCCCUGGAUCCAGGCCCACGGGGGCUGGGAGGGCAUCCUGGCUGUUUCACCCGUGGACUUGAACUUGCCAUUGGACUGAGCUCUUUCUCAGAAGCUGCUACAAGAUGACACCUCAUGUCCCUGCCCUCUUCGUGUGCUUUUCCAAGUCUUCCUAUUCCACUCAGGGCUGUGGGGUGGUGGUUGCCCUACCUGUUUUUGCCAAAAAUAAAUUGUUUAAAACUUUUCUUAUUAAAAACGUUACAAAGUA